rnacentral:lncRNA from 1 species
AUCUUCCCAGGCACAGAGGUGAGACUCACCGGCCUGUAGUUCCCAGAGUCCUCCUUGCUCCUUGAUCUUCUCACAUAGAAGAAAAAAAAGAGAUUGCUUCAGACUUUUAGAAAACUUUGAUAUAAAAGUUUCCUGUACUGUUAAUACCACAUCUGCAAAACCAGAUACCAAGAACCUCUUCCACCCACCUCUGGUCAAUAAAUAUCAUUACUGCAAACAAGCUUGAACUGUAGAAGCUGAACAGAUCAAGAUGCUCUUUUGACAGGUUCAUUUGGCAGUGUAGGAGGAUAUUCUACAAUUCUAAAAAUAUGUUAUAUUUUCACAGACAUUUUGAGAUAUCUCCGUAAGUUCUCUUACAGGAGAUGGCCCAGGGCCCAUAUGGUACAAGUCAAUCUGGCAGAUGUUAUGUAAUAAUCUUCCUUGAUUAAACUAGUACAAGACAUUCUCUUCUCCCCAACCAAAUAACAAGCAAGAAAAAAGCUAUCCAUUUUGAAACAGAACACCACAAACUAGACAGGCAUGAUAGAGCUAAAGACCUUGUUAUAAAGAAUGAUAUGGCCUCCUCUGAGAAAAUCUAGUCCCUCUCUGUCAGUCAGAGUCCAUUACCUGACAAGGCUUAGAAAAGUCCAUCAUCAGCACACCUACAGCAGCUGCGUAUGUGCUGGGAGUUUGACUUGGCCAAGAAGGUUACAGGAAAGGCCCCUGGCUUCCAGCCUAGAAAAGCCAUCUGCUCCAUCAUGUUCCAUAGACAGCACUUGGAAGGGCUGGCAGUGUGCUUCCUCCGUGUCAGAGCUAAACACAGAAGGAGUUUGCCUCUCCAAGAAAGCAGAUCUCAGGAAAAAAAAACAUGGAAUACGUUGUUUGUCCUUUUUCACUACUGUCCUUUCCAAUUCUUUAUCCAAAAACAUACAUUCCAGACUUUAAUGCCUUUGGUUUACAGCUUGGCCUCUCCUCCUUUCUGAGGAAACCUUGUAUACAUUUGAAAGGGCUCUACAGUAUUGAGACAUUCUUUAUCCUGUGUUUUGAACCAUAAUCUAUGUCUGUGUAUAUAAAUAAACUGAACAAUAGAAGAUAUAAAUAAAAUCA